AGUUACCAGCGCGUCAUGCGGGGACUCUAAGAGGACCGCGCCGUAAGGCGGAGGAAGUGGGGAUGACGUCAAGUCCUCAUGGCCCUUAUGUCUUGGGCUACACACGUCCUACAAUGGUCGGUACAGAGGGAUGCCAACCCGCGAGGGUGAGCCGAUCCCUUAAAGCCGGUCCCAGUUCAGAUUGCAGUCUGCAACUCGACUGCAUGAAGUCGGAAUCGCUAGUAAUCGCGGAUCAGCAUGCCGCGGUGAAUACGUUCCCGGGGUUU
rnacentral:rRNA from 1 species